rnacentral:lncRNA from 1 species
CGGUAGGUGGCUUUGGGGUCGCCCCAGGAGUCCAGCUGCGAGAGGUAGGACGGGUAGGUGUUGAGGGCGAGGUUGGGGCUGCUGCCCUCGUCCCUCUUGGAGAGCGAGGGCGCGAGCCCGCAGCCCCUCAUCACCCCGCAGUUGAAGUCACUCCCAGAUUGCAUAUACAUGCCUGCGCUCCGGCUAUAGCGCUCUCCUCCGCCGGGCGCAGCCAAGGGCUCAGCGUACGAGUUCGGAGUUACAUUGCGAGGGCAUGUCAUUUUCAGAGAGAGGGGUUUUUAAGGAGCAAUACUACAGCGGAGGAGCUGACAUCUUUUUUUUUCCCCAUCCGGGAGGGGGGGCGGUUGGAGGGGCGGGAGGGAAAAGAAGGGGAGGGGGGGGGAAAUAUCAGCUCCAUAAUUAUCCGCGCAUUCAGUCCUCACCAUGUGACGGCUAGACCAAUGGGAUUUGAAAAUGGCCUUGAUGAUUCAGACGGCCGUGACGUCAGCGGGGUCAAGUUGUCGGCAGGCGGAGCGCGCAGCGUGGAGUAACAGCGCCACCUAGCAGCCGCCUCGGGGUAGGGGCGCAGGAGCCCUUCCCCGCGAACAAAGGAAGCGCCCCCGGGGCGGCAGGGGCAGGAGAGGGGUGGAGGAAGGUGGGAGGGGGGGUUCUAGGAAGAAUGGGGUUUGUUUACCCGGGAACAAGCCUGUAACUCUUGGGGAAAGUGGGGCGGAGAGGGGGGAAAUGCAGGAGAGAGGGAGAGAUCAAGGCAUCUCGGGGCUCAAAACAGUCAAAUUCAAAUUAAAAGGUCAAGACACGAUUCAGGUACUUCUUCCCUUCGCUUCACCUCUUCUUUUCCUCUCCUGGCCUCUGGGCCCCGCUUCUUCCCUUGGGAUGGGUGUGGGGUGAACUUGGUGGGGAGGGCUCCAGUGGGCAGAGAAAGGGAGAAAAAGUUAAGGAAUCCCAAACAGAACUAAACUUCCUGCUCUCCCGCGUCCCGGUUCGCCGGGCUUGGCCCGGGAGCUCAGUUCCCGGACCUCUCCGCUCAUGGAAGCUGGUUGAGUUCUAAGUGCCCCGUGGGGCUUGACGGAGGAACCUCCCGUGUCUGGAGUGGACCAAGGAGGGGGUCACCAUCACUUCAGGACUGCUCCAGGAGGGUAAAGGAGGUUUCCAGUGGAUCUAGGGGUCGGGGGAGGAGGAAGCCGAAGACCAGAGGCACCGGCUCCCCGACCCCGGGAGCGCAGCCCGGCCUUUGCAGGGUGGGCGGCUCCUGGGUCACCAUCUCAGGGGCUGGAAGGCUUUGGCCUUGGAGUCGGUUCGGCUGCUUUGCUGCAGGCCUUGGCGGCCCUCGCUUUCCAAUUGACCUUGCCCCCACUAAAACAGGGAAUAUUCCCAGAGAGAAAGAGGGAGCCUGCGGGGCCUCCGCUGGUUUGUGGGGAGUCACGUAUCACACGGGGAAACUAGGACACCAGAUGCGACAAAAUCCUACCCAGAGACGUGUCCUUUGCAGAGCGAAUGGGCUGGGGGGGGGGCGUUUUUAAAUGGGGGAGAGGAACCAGCCUGUUUUUGUGGGUUUUAUUUUUUAAUAAAGGGAAAGGAGAAAU